rnacentral:rRNA from 1 species
GAGUUUGAUCCUGGCUCAGAUUGAACGCUGGCGGCAGGCCUAACACAUGCAAGUCGAGCGGUAGAGAGAAGCUUGCUUCUCUUGAGAGCGGCGGACGGGUGAGUAAUGCCUAGGAAUCUGCCUGGUAGUGGGGGAUAACGCUCGGAAACGGACGCUAAUACCGCAUACGUCCUACGGGAGAAAGCAGGGGACCUUCGGGCCUUGCGCUAUCAGAUGAGCCUAGGUCGGAUUAGCUAGUUGGUGAGGUAAUGGCUCACCAAGGCGACGAUCCGUAACUGGUCUGAGAGGAUGAUCAGUCACACUGGAACUGAGACACGGUCCAGACUCCUACGGGAGGCAGCAGUGGGGAAUAUUGGACAAUGGGCGAAAGCCUGAUCCAGCCAUGCCGCGUGUGUGAAGAAGGUCUUCGGAUUGUAAAGCACUUUAAGUUGGGAGAAGGGCAGUAAAUUAAUACUUUGCUGUUUUGACGUUACCGACAGAAUAAGCACCGGCUAACUCUGCGCCAGCCGCC